AAUGAUAUGGAACCAGCAAGACAGAGGGGGUACCCUGAAUUUCCCCAAGCUGAGGUCCUUGAUAAAAACUUUGAUUCUGGAUCUCUUGUUCAUAGACAGAUUCCUGAGCGGAUGAUGAACUCCAAUGUACCUUUUCCGGAGGAGAACGACAGGUGGAAUUCACGAUUUGACGGGUUUAAGGUGGGCUCUGGUCAAUUGGCUUCAAAAGCUGAGCAGAAAAGGUUGACUCCUGAACCACAUGCCUCAUCCAAGAGUAGUGAGUGGAAAUGGGAAGGUACUAUUGCUAAGGGAGGAACUGCCGUCUGUCGGGCUCGAUGCUUUCCUGUGGGCAAACCUUUAGAGAUGAUCUUACCUGUAUACUUGGACUGCACUGCAAGGACUAGUUUAGACAUGCUUGCAAAGCAUUACUAUCAAGCAGCUGGUUCUUGGGUUGUCUUCUUUGUUCCAGCUACUGAUGCUGACAUAGCAUUUUACAGCGAAUUCAUGAAUUAUCUUGGUGAGAAGCAGCGAGCUGCUGUGGCUAAAUUGGAUGAUAGGACCACUAUGUUUCUUGUACCUCCUUCUGACUUCUCUGAGAAAGUCCUUAAAGUACCAGGAAAACUGAGCAUCUCUGGUGUUGUUUUAAGAUUAGAUCCUCCUGCUCCCGGUUUUGGGUCUCAUUCUGAGAAGAAUGA
rnacentral:misc_RNA from 1 species